AUUUUAAGUGGAAUACUCAAAAACCUAAGGGAUGUUUUCUUGUUGCAUACUCAAGAGGGUGUGAAAGGGAAUGUUUUUUAUCUUAACUUAAUAAAGUACUUGAAGUGCUCCACCCUUUUAACUUCCUGAAUUCUUUUGAUGAGAUUUCACACCCUUAGGGGACAGGACAUGGAUCCCACAGACACUGCCCCUUGGUCAAUGCUAGGCAAAUUGAGAGACUUUGAUUGGCUUUUGUGAAGAGGGGUAGAGACAGGAAGGGAAAAGGGGAAUAAAAGGUGAGACCAAAAGACAAGAUUCACUCUUGGAUUCCUUGGUUCUUUGGUGAGGAGACCCUCUCUCAGUGGGUGCUUCAGUGGGACAUUCUCUUCAGCUUGAGUUCUGGUGAGAUUCUUGGAGGCAGUUACCCUUUCCUGGAAUCAUUCUGGACUGGAACUUUCUGCUCUGGAGAAGCUUGCUGGAUGAGUGACUGGAAUUUUCUUCUCUGGAAAGGCUUGCUGGGUGAGUUAUUGGAGUUUUCUUCUCUGGAAGGGCUUGCUCAGUGAGUGACUGGAGCUGAAGGAAAAGACUUGCAUUGAUGGACUCCUGGCUGAAGACACCACAGAGACUUCCACAUGGAGCCUGGGACUUAAGGGAGCCCCUACCAAGGGCUGAGUCAGACUUCAUUGGAGCAGCACUUAGACAUCAGAGACAAAGUAGGGUAGAGAAAGGAGACAGACAGCUCAGCAGCAACUCUUGCAUCAGCCAAGUAAGUCCUCACAAUGUUUAUUCUUUCCUUUGAAUUUAAUUCCUGGGUCAUCAGACAUGAGUGCAUUCCUGAAAAACAAAAUAAAAUGGAAAUAAAUGCUGGAUUAUCCA
rnacentral:lncRNA from 1 species